AUUGAACGCUGGCGGCAGGCCUAACACAUGCAAGUCGAGCGGCUGCAGGGAGCUUGCUCCUGCAUUCAGCGGCGGACGGGUGAGUAAUGCCUAGGAAUCUGCCUGGUAGUGGGGGAUAACGUCCGGAAACGGGCGCUAAUACCGCAUACGUCCUGAGGGAGAAAGUGGGGGAUCUUCGGACCUCACGCUAUCAGAUGAGCCUAGGUCGGAUUAGCUAGUUGGUGGGGUAAAGGCCUACCAAGGCGACGAUCCGUAACUGGUCUGAGAGGAUGAUCAGUCACACUGGAACUGAGACACGGUCCAGACUCCUACGGGAGGCAGCAGUGGGGAAUAUUGGACAAUGGGCGAAAGCCUGAUCCAGCCAUGCCGCGUGUGUGAAGAAGGUCUUCGGAUUGUAAAGCACUUUAAGUUGGGAGGAAGGGCAGUAAGUUAAUACCUUGCUGUUUUGACGGUACCAACAGAAUAAGCACCGGCUAACUUCGUG
rnacentral:rRNA from 1 species